rnacentral:rRNA from 1 species
AAUGGGCGAAAGCCUAACGCAGCAACGCCGCGUGCGGGAAGAAGGCCUUCGGGUUGUAAACCGCUUUCAGAAGGAACGAAACUGACGGUACUUUCAGAAGAAGGUGCGGCCAACUACGUGCCAGCAGCCGCGGUGACACGUAGGCACCAAGCGUUGUCCGGAUUUAUUGGGCGUAAAGGGCUCGUAGGCGGUUCAGUAAGUCGGGUGUGAAACCUUUGGGCUUAACCCAAAGCGUGCACUCGAUACUGCUGUGACUGGAGUUCGGUAGGGGAGCGGGGAAUUCCUAGUGUAGCGGUGAAAUGCGCAGAUAUUAGGAGGAACACCGGUGGCGAAGGCGCCGCUCUGGGCCGAUACUGACGCUGAGGAGCGAAAGCGUGGGUAGCAAA